CAUUUUAUUUAAGUCAUUUUUCAUUCAAAUAAAGUCUUUACUUUGAGAACAAGUGUUAUACAUACAUAUGUAUGAGUUUACAUACAUACACACAAUGUAUGUAAAACAAGAAUGAGCAUGGCUUCUCUCAAAGCAUAAAGUUCGCCGAGGAAUAUUGCUGCCGGCAGAAGUUUAGAUCAAGCCCGCGAAUGUGAUUCAUAUGACAGUGUGUGUGUGUGUGUGUGUGUGUGUGUGUGUCGGCAUUACCAUUAGUUUGAAGAAUCUUCGUUUGCUUGUUGGUGCGAGCAGGACCGAAACGUGGCAACAUACAUAUGUACAUACAUAUAUAAAUGUGACAUUGCAAAGAAAAUAAAAUUGAAACUCGAUAAGGUACAUACAAUCAUGCAAGUAGGUUUGGUUUUGGGCCCAAGUUAUAUGCACCGGCUCGCACCCGGUACAGACGGUCGGGGCAAGAUUUAGUCAGCUUGUCAUCCUGGAUCAAGAAUAUAUAAACUUUAUGGAGCCGAAUAUAAUUUCUUUUGCCUGUUACAGACCUUUGCAAAAAAGCCACAUACCCAUUUUGAAUGGGUUUAGGGUACAACAAAACGAUCUCACAUUUACAAAAAUUUAUGUGUAGCCCAACCGGUUUAUGUGUCAACACAUAUACGUAUACGUAUGUAUAUACAUAUGUACACAUACAAAUGCAUGACUUCAUAUAUUUUUAA